rnacentral:sRNA from 2 species
UUCGCCUGUCGUUUAUGAGGAUGAGCACCUCCGCAGGAGGUUCGAGCCUCGCGAAGCGAGACAACGUUGCUUUGGCAACGGCCCGCAGGGCGCGCAUCAACGAUGCGCGUAAUCCUCUCUCGCCGACCA